rnacentral:rRNA from 1 species
GACGAACGCUGGCGGCGUGCUUAACACAUGCAAGUCGAACGGAAAGGCCCUGCUUUUGUGGGGUGCUCGAGUGGCGAACGGGUGAGUAACACGUGAGUAACCUGCCCUUGACUUUGGGAUAACUUCAGGAAACUGGGGCUAAUACCGGAUAGGAGCUCCUGCUGCAUGGUGGGGGUUGGAAAGUUUCGGCGGUUGGGGAUGGACUCGCGGCUUAUCAGCUUGUUGGUGGGGUAGUGGCUUACCAAGGCUUUGACGGGUAGCCGGCAUGGGAGGGUGACCGGCCACAUUGGGACUGAGGUACGGCCCAGACUCCUACGGGAGGCAGCAGUGGGGAAUAUUGCACAAUGGGCGGGAGCGUGAUGCGGCAACGCCGCGUGCGGGGUGACGGCCUUCGGGUUGUAAACCGCUUUCGCCUAUGACGAAGCGUGAGUGACGGUAAUGGGUAAAGAAGCACCGGCUAACUACGUG